UACGUAGGGGGCAAGCGUUGUCCGGAUUUAUUGGGCGUAAAGAGCGUGUAGGCGGCCUGACAGGUCUGCUGUGAAAACUCGAGGCUCAACCUCGAGAUGUCGGCGGAAACCGUCUGGCUAGAGUCCGGAAGAGGAGAGUGGAAUUCCUGGUGUAGCGGUGAAAUGCGCAGAUAUCAGGAAGAACACCUAUGGCGAAGGCGGCACUCUAGGCCGAUACUGACACUGAGGAGCGAAAGCGUGGGGAGCGAACAGG
rnacentral:rRNA from 1 species